UAACCUGCCUGUAAGACUGGGAUAACUCCGGGAAACCGGGGCUAAUACCGGAUGGUUGUCUGAACCGCAUGGUUCAGACAUAAAAGGUGGCUUCGGCUACCACUUACAGAUGGACCCGCGGCGCAUUAGCUAGUUGGUGAGGUAACGGCUCACCAAGGCGACGAUGCGUAGCCGACCUGAGAGGGUGAUCGGCCACACUGGGACUGAGACACGGCCCAGACUCCUACGGGAGGCAGCAGUAGGGAAUCUUCCGCAAUGGACGAAAGUCUGACGGAGCAACGCCGCGUGAGUGAUGAAGGUUUUCGGAUCGUAAAGCUCUGUUGUUAGGGAAGAACAAGUGCCGUUCAAAUAGGGCGGCACCUUGACGGUACCUAACCAGAAAGCCACGGCUAACUACGUGCCAGCAGCCGCGGUAAUACGUAGGUGGCAAGCGUUGUCCGGAAUUAUUGGGCGUAAAGGGCUCGCAGGCGGUUUCUUAAGUCUGAUGUGAAAGCCCCCGGCUCAACCGGGGAGGGUCAUUGGAAACUGGGGAACUUGAGUGCAGAAGAGGAGAGUGGAAUUCCACGUGUAGCGGUGAAAUGCGUAGAGAUGUGGAGGAACACCAGUGGCGAAGGCGACUCUCUGGUCUGUAACUGACGCUGAGGAGCGAAAGCGUGGGGAGCGAACAGGAUUAGAUACCCUGGUAGUCCACGCCGUAAACGAUGAGUGCUAAGUGUUAGGGGGUUUCCGCCCCUUAGUGCUGCAGCUAACGCAUUAAGCACUCCGCCUGGGGAGUACGGUCGCAAGACU
rnacentral:rRNA from 1 species